GGGUUCAUAGUCUAGUGGUUAGGACACGACCCUUACAAGGUUGAAACUCCAGUUCGAUUCUGGAUGGACCCA
rnacentral:tRNA from 1 species